GAUUGUUUGAUCCUGGCUCAGGAUGAACGCUAGCGGCAGGCGUAACACAUGCAAGUCGAGGGGUAGAUGUCUUCGGACAUUGAGACCGGCGCACGGGUGCGUAACGCGUAUGCAAUCUACCUUUGUACAGAGGGAUAGCCCAGAGAAAUUUGGAUUAAUACCUCAUAGCAUUAUUGAAUGGCAUCAUUUAAUAAUUAAAGUUCCAACGGUACAAGAUGAGCAUGCGUCCUAUUAGCUAGUUGGUGUGGUAACGGCAUACCAAGGCUACGAUAGGUAGGGGUCCUGAGAGGGAGAUCCCCCACACUGGUACUGAGACACGGACCAGACUCCUACGGGAGGCAGCAGUGAGGAAUAUUGGACAAUGGGCGCAAGCCUGAUCCAGCCAUGCCGCGUGCAGGAAGACACAUCUAUGGUGUGUAAACUGCUUUUGUACGGGAAGAAACACUCUCUCGUGAGGGAGCUUGACGGUACCGUAAGAAUAAGGAUCGGCUAACUCCGUGCCAGCAGCCGCGGUAAUACGGAGGAUCCAAGCGUUAUCCGGAAUCAUUGGGUUUAAAGGGUCCGUAGGCGGUUUAAUAAGUCAGUGGUGAAAGCCCAUCGCUCAACGAUGGAACGGCCAUUGAUACUGUUAGACUUGAAUUAUUGUGAAGUAACUAGAAUAUGUAGUGUAGCGGUGAAAUGCUUAGAUAUUACAUGGAAUACCAAUUGCGAAGGCAGGUUACUAACAAUAUAUUGACGCUGAUGGACGAAAGCGUGGGGAGCGAACAGGAUUAGAUACCCUGGUAGUCCACGCUGUAAACGAUGGAUACUAGCUGUUGGGAGCAAUUUCAGUGGCUAAGCGAAAGUGAUAAGUUCCCAC
rnacentral:rRNA from 1 species